UACGGGGGGGGCAAGCGUUGUUCGGAAUUACUGGGCGUAAAGGGCUCGUAGGCGGCCAACUAAGUCCGACGUGAAAUCCCCAGGCUUAACCUGGGAACUGCGUCGGAUACUGGAUGGCUUGAAUCCGGGAGAGGGAUGCGGAAUUCCAGGUGUAGCGGUGAAAUGCGUAGAUAUCUGGAGGAACACCGGUGGCGAAGGCGGCAUCCUGGACCGGCAUUGACGCUGAUGAGCGAAAGCCAGGGGAGCAAACGGG
rnacentral:rRNA from 1 species